UACGUAGGGUACGAGCGUUGUCCGGAAUUAUUGGGCGUAAAGAGCUUGUAGGUGGCUUGUCGCGUCUGCCGUGAAAAUCCAGGGCUCAACCCUGGACGUGCGGUGGGUACGGGCUGGCUAGAGUGUGGUAGGGGAGACUGGAACUCCUGGUGUAGCGGUGAAAUGCGCAGAUAUCAGGAGGAACACCGGUGGCGAAGGCGGGACUCUGGGCUGUAACUGACACUGAGGAGCGAAAGCAUGGGGAGCGAACAGG
rnacentral:rRNA from 1 species